rnacentral:rRNA from 1 species
GUGGGGAAUAUUGGGCAAUGGGCGCAAGCCUGACCCAGCAACGCCGCGUGAAGGAAGAAGGCUUUCGGGUUGUAAACUUCUUUUACCAGGGACGAAACAAAUGACGGUACCUGGUGAAUAAGCCACGGCUAACUACGUGCCAGCAGCCGCGGUAAUACGUAGGUGGCGAGCGUUAUCCGGAUUUAUUGGGUGUAAAGGGCGUGUAGGCGGGACAGCAAGUCAGAUGUUAAAACCAGAGGCUCAACCUCUGGCCUGCAUUUGAAACUGUUGUUCUUGAGUGUCGGAGAGGUAAUCGGAAUUCCGUGUGUAGCGGUGAAAUGCGUAGAUAUACGGAGGAACACCAGUGGCGAAGGCGGAUUACUGGACGAUAACUGACGCUGAGGCGCGAAAGCGUGGGGAGCAAACAGGAUUAGAAACCCUAGUAGUCC